rnacentral:rRNA from 1 species
CCAAUAGCGUAUAUUAAAGUUGUUGCAGUUAAAAAGCUCGUAGUUGAAUUUCGGGAUUAGUACGUUGGUCGUGCCUUUGGUAUGUACUGGUGUUACUGAUUCCUACCUUCUGACGAACCGUCAUGUCAUUAAUUUGGUGUGGCGGGGAAUCAGGACUGUUACUUUGAAAAAAUUAGAGUGUUUAAAGCAGGCUCGCGCUUGAAUACAUUAGCAUGGAAUAAUGAAAUAGGACGUUCGAUCCUAUUUUGUUGGUUUCUAGGAUUGACGUAAUGAUUAAUAGGGAUAGUUUGGGGCAUUAGUAUUCAAUUGUCAGAGGUGAAAUUCUUGGAUUUAUUGAAGACUAACUACUGCGAAAGCAUUUGCCAAGGAUGUUUUCAUUAAUAAAGAACGAAAGUUAGGGGAUCGAAGACGAUCAGAUACCGUCGUAGUCUUAACCAUAAACUAUGCCGACUAGGGAUCGGAUGAUGUUAAUUUUUUAAUGACUCAUUCGGCGCCUUACG